GAAUAUCACAUUGCAUGUAGUCUCUUGACGUUUAAUGUAGAAAAUAGUGCAUAUGCAGAGAAGAGCAGUUUGGGGCGUUAGUUCACACAUCCACGUGUGCGCGCACACAGCUCUCAGGUGUGUCUGCAUACCUUCCCGCACGGCCUGGGCUGAGCACUCCUUCCAGGCUCCUGCUCCUCCCUCAAACUGCAGCUUCAAGCCGAAGAGAGAGGCGUCGUGUCCAUCAAAGGAGUGUGUGCGAACCGCUAUCUCGCUAUGAAGGAGGACGGCCGGUUACUGGCUUCUAAAUAUGUUACGGAUGAGUGUUUCUUUUUUGAACGGUUGGAAUCCAAUAACUACAACACUUACCGGUCACGGAAAUACUCCAGUUGGAGCUGAUCUUGAGGCACCGUCUGAUCUCGUUUCAUAUGAAGGAAGAGGCCUAUUUUAGAAAUUCGUUAACGAGAAAAAAGAAAACGUGUACAGCUGUCUGCUCAGGUUGGGCAGCGGGUCAGAUAACCUCCUCUCUAAUGUGAAUUCAAAUGAAACGAGUCAGUUCCUGUGAGAAGGCACGAGUCAGAAGAGGAGGCCACACACCUGUAGACUGCUUUCUGCCCCGGCGCAGGUGAGGCCAUGCACAGAAGCUUCCCGAGCUAACGGGCUCCCACACGCCCCGUGAGGAUGGUGGAAGAUGACUGGGUGUUCAAGAAUAAACCGCUUUCCCUUCCACCACCACAAAUCCUCUCGUUUCAACAGAAGACCCAGCAGAACGGGGGUCAGGAUCUACAAACCAGAAUUUGCUAUGGAUUUAUCUGAAUGUAGUACAUUUACUUACUGGUUGUUAGGAGUUGGCUGCAUACUGUGUACAGGGCAUUUAUGUAUACAUGUUUUAAAUAAAAUAUCUCAAGAUAACUUAGGAAAUUGUUCACAUAAAUGUUGUUAAAGAGAACAGGGACAUGCACAGUGAAGAAAAAGUGUGCAGAAAUAACUGAUAUCAAUUGAGUUAUCUAUUGAUUUACUGAGAGAGGGGCUGUAUUUGACCAAUGGUGUAAGGAGUAGGUAGGAAUAUUCAGUUUCUGUUCUAUUUCCUAUAAAAUCAGUGACAUUGAGAAUCUUAGCUUGUUUCAGAUUCCCUGUCUUCAGUGUGGAGCUCAGUGGAUUGUUCUGAGCUCUCUCUCUCAUGCGAGACUGUCUCCUAUGAGCUCUUACACUAUUUUGGCUUCUGACUAUUCAAAAUGAAUAGUAGAUAAAAUUUUCAAAAAGAGGUUUGCAUCACCACUGCUCUAUAACUGACUCUAUAAAUAGUACUUGUUUCAAAGUUGACUUAAAAGUUACUAUUCAUCCUUGCGUGAUGAAACGGUCAGGAAUUGGUGUUUUGUCAUAGUUAAUUCCAAUGGUUUUAGUCAUAUCCAAAACAGCCCUCGGUGCUCGGCUGACUGAUGCACACCCAAAGCUCCCCACUCGCAAACAGAUCCCUCGAGACUGAGCAGCCCCACGAGGAGGCCAGGUGGGCGUGUGCGCCCUACGGCAUUUUAUCCCAAUGGAAGAGGGUCCAAUGUUCCUUACAAGUUUGCUGCUAAUUUUAUAUCAGCCCUGAAGUAACCUCUCUGAAACCUUCUGACUUAGUCUGAACCAGUAAGACAAUUUUAAAUCUUAUUCUUAAUCAAAGAGCAAACAAAAGUCAACGCAUGCAUGUCCUCAGCAUUUUCAGGCCAACUGAAAACACGUAAGAUACGCACCGAUGUCUUCUCCAGGCUCCGACAGGCCUCCUGGGAACUUCCACAUGUUUUUCAGCUGCAGGGAAAGUCAGAAAUAGUCAACACAGCUUCUGUUCACUAACACGCACCGGGAGAGCCACGCU